AGCAGCCGCGGUAAUUCCAGCUCCAAUAGCGUAUAUUAAAGUUGUUGCAGUUAAAAAGCUCGUAGUUGAAUUUCGAGACCAAAUUGUUGGUCGUGCCUUGGUACGUACUGGCAUUAUUGGUUUCUCCCUUCUGACGAACCAAGAUGUCAUUAAUUUGGUGUCUUGGGGAAUCAGGACUGUUACUUUGAAAAAUUAGAGUGUUUAAAGCAGGCUCGCGCUUGAAUACAUUAGCAUGGAAUAGUGAAAUAGGACGUUUGAUUCUAUUUUGUUGGUUUCUAGGAUCGACGUAAUGAUUAAUAGGGAUAGUUGGGGGCAUUAGUAUUCAAUUGUCAGAGGUGAAAUUCUUGGAUUUAUUGAAGACUAACUACUGCGAAAGCAUUUGCCAAGGAUGUUUUC
rnacentral:rRNA from 1 species